GAUGAACGCUGGCGGCGUGCCUAACACAUGCAAGUCGAGCGAACCCUUCGGGGUGAGCGGCGGACGGGUGAGUAACGCGUGGGUAACCUGCCCUGUACACACGGAUAACAUACCGAAAGGUAUGCUAAUACGGGAUAACAUAUGAGAGUCGCAUGGCUUUUGUAUCAAAGCUCCGGCGGUACAGGAUGGACCCGCGUCUGAUUAGCUAGUUGGUAAGGUAACGGCUUACCAAGGCAACGAUCAGUAGCCGACCUGAGAGGGUGAUCGGCCACAUUGGAACUGAGACACGGUCCAAACUCCUACGGGAGGCAGCAGUGGGGAAUAUUGCACAAUGGGCGAAAGCCUAAUGCAGCAACGCCGCGUGAGCGAUGAAGGCCUUCGGGUCGUAAAGCUCUGUCCUCAAGGAAGAUAAUGACGGUACUUGAGGAGGAAGCCCCGGCUAACUACGUGCCAGCAGCCGCGGGAAUACGUAGGGGGCUAGCGUUAUCCGGAAUUACUGGGCGUAAAGGGUGCGUAGGCGGUCUUUCAAGCCAGAAGUGAAAGGCUACGGCUCAACCGUAGUAAGCUUUUGGAACUGUAGGACUUGAGUGCAGGAGAGGAGAGUGGAAUUCCUAGUGUAGCGGUGAAAUGCGUAGAUAUUAGGAGGAACACCAGUAGCGAAGGCGGCUCUCUGGACUGUAACUGACGCUGAGGCACGAAAGCGUGGGGAGCAAACAGGAUUAGAUACCCUGGUAGUCCACGCCGUAAACGAUGAGUACUAGGUGUCGGGGGUUACCCCCCUCGGUGCCGCAGCUAACGCAUUAAGUACUCCGCCCUGGGAAGUACGCUCGCAAGAGUGAAACUCAAAGGAAUUUGACGGGGACCCGCACAAGUAGCGGAGCAUGUGGUUUAAUUCGAAAGCAACGCGAAGAACCUUACCUAAGCUUGACAUCCCAUUGACCUCUCCCUAAUCGGAGAUUUCCCUUCGGGGACAAUGGUGACAGGUGGUGCAUGGUUGUCGUCAGCUCGUGUCGUGAGAUGUUGGGUUAAGUCCCGCAACGAGCGCAACCCUUGCCUUUAGUUGCCAGCAUUAAGUUGGGCACUCUAGAGGGACUGCCGAGGAUAACUCGGAGGAAGGUGGGGAUGACGUCAAAUCAUCAUGCCCCUUAUGCUUAGGGCUACACACGUGCUACAAUGGGUGGUACAGAGGGUUGCCAAGCCGUGAGGUGGAGCUAAUCCCUUAAAACCAUUCUCAGUUCGGAUUGUAGGCUGAAACUCGCCUACAUGAAGCUGGAGUUACUAGUAAUCGCAGAUCAGAAUGCUGCGGUGAAUGCGUUCCCGGGUCU
rnacentral:rRNA from 1 species